CUACAUGACAGUAGCUUACCAGGAGAAGGGUUGGAGACAUCUAGGGCACGUUCAAGUUAAACUGUUUCCUGGAAACGGUGUGCACCCGUGUGUAACGUGGAUUGAGAUACGUGUCUUGUUUGGUGGGUGUCUCAAAACUACAGUCCAAUCAGCAACAACAUCACACUGCACCUUUAAAGAGCUUCUUGGCCUAGACUGGCAUGCUGCUGGAAGGCCGACGUUAGACUCAGCUUCAACACUCUUGGAGCACUUUCUUCAAACAAUGAAAUCUGAGGAGGAUUAAAACAGAUGGAUUUUUAACAAAAUGUGAACAGUGAAAAGUUAUAAAAACACAAAAAUGAAAAUAAUAACAUAAUGUAUUAGGUAAUUGCUUUGGCUAACAGAUAUUGUAGUUUAUAAAUGAUAUAAACUCACGAAAGUGACAUUUACCAACAGUGAACAUGGUUUGACAACACCAUACCAAACCACUGCUACUGACAACAAGGAUUUAUGAUUUAUGUUUUUUUCCUGCACUACGAUGGUCUUCUGUGGUUCCUGCCUAUAGCCUGAAAUGCUGGAAGAGGAUCAAGACCUUUCCAUGAGCCUGCAGAAGACAAGCAUUCACAAAACAAAUUUUGUUAUAAAUCUUUAUAAUUACUUAUAACCCUUUUAACAAAGAACAACUUUUCCUUUCUUGUACAUUCUGUAGAAGCUAAUCUUAAUGCCACACCAGAUAAUGACCACCGAAUGACACAUUCUGUGAUAUGUAUAGCAUGUACCAUUACAUUUACUGAAAAAAGCCAAUUUAUUAAAAGGUGCUGUUUACAAA